rnacentral:rRNA from 1 species
AUGAAGGCAGCCUAUCUAUGGUCAGUCCAUGAUUUUCCAGCCUUUGGAAUGGUUGCUGGGUGGAGCACCCAUGGAAAAUUUUGUUGUUAUGAUUGUAUGAGUGAUACCAAAGCAUUCUGGUUAGAAAAUGGUGGAAAGGCUUGCUGGUUUGAUUGUCAUAGGAGGUUUCUUCCGGUAGGCCAUGAGUUUAGAACCCAGGCUGAUGCAUUUCGGAAAGACACAAUAAUAUUAGAUGAACCACCUAGGCAUUUGAAAGGUAAAGAAGUAGAAGCCCAAAUGAGAGCCCAAGUAGGAAACACCAAAACAUAUGGAAAAGAACACAACUGGACACAUGUUAGUUGUUUCUGGGAUCUGCCUUACUCCAACAAAUUGGUUUUUCGGCAUUGUAUUGAUGUAAUGCACAAUGAGAAGAAUGUAGCUGAGGCUAUUUGGAACACAUGCUUUGACAUAACUGAUAAAACAAAAGAUAAUGUCAAAGCGAGGAAAGAUCAAGCUAAGAUUUGCAAACGUCCUAAGAUGAAUCUAGUCGAAAAGCCAAAUGGCAAGUGGGAUAAGCCAAGGGCACUUUUCAGCAUUGAGGGGAAGCAUAAGGUCAUCAUUUUGAAUUGGUUCAAAAAGCUAUUAUUUCCUGAUGGGUAUGCUUCCAACUUCAGAAGAGGGGUUAAUCUGAAGGAUAAGAAAUUGUUUGGACUGAAAAGUCAUGAUUACCACAUAUUCAUUGAGUGUUUACUCCCAGCUGCUUUCCGUGGUUUUCUUCCUGAAGGCAUUUGGAUUUGUCUUUUCGAGCUUAGCUUUUUCUAUAGGCAGUUGUGUGCUAAACAACUCAGCAAAGACAUAGUAGCAAGUCUGGAAAAGAACAUCGUGGUGAUUAUUUGCAAAUUAGAGAAGAUAUUCCCUCCUGGGUUUUUCAAUCCCAUGCAACACCUAAUGAUUCAUCUACCUCGCCAAGCCAGGCUAGCAGGCCCUGUCCAGAAUACAUGGAUGUAUCGAUUUGAGAGGUAUAUCUUAUAUGAAAGUAAAAAAAGUUGUUUACUUGGCAAAUGCAUUUCUUCAUAG